GGGGGAGGGGAGCGACCGCUAAUUAGCCAUGGAGGAGCAGCCGCAGACUCGGCGCGUCGGAAUCCUGGGAUAUGGAGAGCUCGGCCAGUUCCUGGUGUCGCAGCUGAUGUCCCUCGGGCCAUCCCU